rnacentral:rRNA from 1 species
UACGAAGGGGGCUAGCGUUGCUCGGAAUCACUGGGCGUAAAGGGUGCGUAGGCGGGCCUUUAAGUCAGGGGUGAAAUCCUAGAGCUCAACUCCAGAACUGCCUUUGAUACUGAAGAUCUUGAGUUCGGGAGAGGUGAGUGGAACUGCGAGUGUAGAGGUGAAAUUCGUAGAUAUUCGCAAGAACACCAGUGGCGAAGGCGGCUCACUGGCCCGAUACUGACGCUGAGGCACGAAAGCGUGGGGAGCAAACAGG